UACAGGGGGUGCAAACGUUGCUCGGAAUUACUGGGCGUAAAGCGCACGUAGGCGGACUAUUAAGUCAGGGGUGAAAUCCCGGGGCUCAACCCCGGAACUGCCUUUGAUACUGGUAGUCUCGAGUCCGGAAGAGGUGAGUGGAAUUCCGAGUGUAGAGGUGAAAUUCGUAGAUAUUCGGAGGAACACCAGUGGCGAAGGCGGCUCACUGGUCCGGUACUGACGCUGAGGUGCGAAAGCCAGGGGAGCGAACGGG
rnacentral:rRNA from 1 species